UCUCCUCUUCCUCGACCUCACGCCGAAACCCGAAACUCCCUUCCCUCUCCGGCGAUUUCUCGCCUCACCGACGCCAAGCUCACGAUCGCCGACCAUCUUCCUUCGGGUAGGGCUAGGGCAAAGACUCCAUUGGCUCCUCUUGCGAUCCUUUUCCUUUCUCUCUUUCUCACGAACGCCCGAUGCCAACGAAGAACGACUUCUUCCACGGCGAUCGCGUCCUCGUCGAGUCACCGGAGAGAAUGGCGUUGGUUUUCGGGGGUUACCGAUCAUCUCCCACUGAGAGGUUGUCUUCUCGGCGGUUUCUUGCUCGCGGUCGGCAGCAGCCUAGCGUCUAGGGCACAGCCGGGGGAGUUUGAUUCGCAUCACCAGCCGAUCAAUCGUCUCCUCCUCAAUUUGUUCCUUAGGAUUGAUCUGUAGCUCCACACCCGCUGGAUUGGAUCGGGCGACAUCAUCAGAGGCGACCUAUCAAGGGGAAAGUACCGAAUCAUCUUAGUGACAGAUCUUCCUUGAGUGGAUUUUGAUCUUCUUCUCUGUUCGUGGGCAAGAACAGAUCAUUUGCCCUAGCCUUGAUCUUGGAGGUGAUGAAAGUGUGGGCAGCAGUAAGCAUCAUACCCAUGAUUUCUAGCAGUGGUUGCUUCAGUUUUGGUUCUUUGGUAACUCUCGGGUGAAGAGCUUGAUUUGGGAUCAAUUGAGCUGUUAGGAGGAUUAUGGUGGGAGCUGUGAGUGUUGAUCAGCUACAACCUUCCAAGGUAAGUGAUGUAUCAAUGAGGUAUUUCUGAUUGGUUUAAUAGAAUAUUGCUAAAUUAGGGUUGUAAUUUUAUGUAAGGGUUACUUCUUUUGGGCAUGUGAAAUGUGAAGGAGGGUUUUAAAUAUGAUGAGAUUGAUUAUCAGAUUUGAUGGUUAGAGGUGGGUCAUGAGGAUGAUUAUGCAUGUUUGUUGUAUGAUGUGUGGUGGAUAAUAAUGGGAUGUAAUGGAUGGAUAAUUUUCUGAAUUAGAGUAGUGUCCAUCUUGGAGUUUGUAUUAUGUUAUGGUUUGAUUAAUUAGGGGUUGGUUGCAUUUGAUGAGUUCAUGAUUGUUAUUAAGGAUCAUUGGAUUAUGUUUGGAUUUAGGAAGAGUUAAAUUUAAGGAUGUGCCUAUGAUUUACUUUGGGUUGGAUCAUUAGGUGGAAACUAAACAGGGUUACCUAAUCGACGUAGGAUUAGGUAUUGGGUUUAGUUUGUUGUUGAUUAUGUGAUUAGCUAAACAUUAUAUAUAUACCGUGUGAUCGCAGGA